rnacentral:rRNA from 1 species
AUUGAACGCUGGCGGCAGGCCUAACACAUGCAAGUCGAGCGGAGCGGCGGACGGGUGAGUAAUGCCUAGGAAUCUACCUGGUAGUGGGGGAUAACUUCCGGAAACGGGCGCUAAUACCGCAUACUUUCAGUUGAGCCUCGGUGGGAUUAGCUAGUUGGUGGGGUAAAGGCCUACCAAGGCGACGAUCCGUAACUGGUCUGAGAGGAUGAUCAGUCACACUGGAACUGAGACACGGUCCAGACUCCUACGGGAGGCAGCAGUGGGGAAUAUUGGACAAUGGGCGAAAGCCUGAUCCAGCCAUGCCGCGUGAGUGAAGAAGGUCUUCGGAUUGUAAAGCACUUUAAGUUGGGAGGCGGUACCAAAAGAAUAAGCACCGGCUAACUUCGUGCCAGCAGCCGCGGUAAUAC